AAGAUUUGAUGUUUUCGUGGUUUCCACGGGCUUUCUUGAACAUGGUAUUCAAACGGGCCCUCUUCGAUUUAGUUCUCGAAGAUGCGAUAUUUAGUAACAGGUUCAAGAAAUCUGUGGAGAACCAUGAAAAUCAAUCAUGAUGCUGCAUUGCAUAUUUGAAGGUGAAUGCAAUUUUAUCAAAAUAUCGGCCAUAGAUUUUCCAGAUGAUGAUCUGUAGGUAUUUGUUAAUGGCGUGACUUCUACAUUAGUUUUAAAAUUCAAAUGAAAUGCUUGUUGUCAUGUGCAUGUGUAUCAGUUUGUGUUCAUUGUUAAGAGUAAGAUCAAUGAGUUAAGGAUAAUUUGGUAGUUUGUACAAAAUGAGGGACGUUGGUUUUCCACUGUUUAUAAAAACAGAGGGAAGGGAAGUAUUAUGCGAAUGGUUUCUAUACUUCCUCUACAACAUAGAAGAUUUAUGCUUCCUCUGCCAUCCAGCCGUCCAAUUUUGAUCAAGAGAGUCACUCAUCGUUUGAUCUUAGAUCCAACGUCUCAAAGUAGUUUAUUUUUAGUUUUUUUUAUACAAGUUUUAUGAAUAUAAAAUUUGAUACGUGCCAUCUUCUCAUUGGGUUGCACCUACAAAAAAUAUUAAAAAUAUUUUUUCGAUAAAAUAUAAUGAUCAAAAUAUCCCUUGGAACUUUCAAAGGUAAUUUGGUCAUUUUAUAUUAUUAGAAAUAUUUUUUUUUUAUAUUUUUCGCUAGUGCGAGUUUAAUAGAGGAUUGGACGUACAAAAUUUGGUGUGAAAGUAGUUUAUAGAAAAAAUUAAAAAUAAAAUGGUUUAGGGAUGUGAUAUUGUGAUUGGGACAAUCUUAGCCCUCCGUUCUCAAUAGACUGUUGGAUAAGGCGAAGUAUAUAAGUUUUAUGUUGUGGGGGAAGCAUAGAAAGCUUUCCCUUUCAUUUAUCUCACAUAUGAAUUGGAGAUUGUUAUCUAUUUUUAUUUGUUUUUAAGUGGAUACAUUUCCUUUUUGAGGAUGGGAUAGGAGUGCCUAUGGGUCUAGAACACUGGUCAUCGUGUCAGGUGAGAUAGUUUAGGGAGGUGAGAUAGUUUAGAGAAAGUAUAAAAUGAGACCAUUUACUUUUGAUAUAAGGUGGUCAAAACAAUAUUGAUCAUUGGAUGUGAAGUUGGGUGGCUGCAAUUAUUCCAUUGAACAUGCUAAAACUUCAAAAAGAAAUUUUCUCAAACUUUAUGACACAUCUAGGCUAUCAAAUUGCACAUCAAAUAGUUGUAAAGAAUUGUGACCACCUUGUAUUAAAAAUAAAUUGUUUCAUUUUUAUACAUUCCCGAUAGUUUAACAUUUCUUAAUUGUGAAUACCUGAUGAGAUGAUUUCAAGAAAUUUAGUAAAAAUAAGAGAGCUGGGGUUCAAUUUUCGAGUAAAAGAGGUCGUGGUGUCUUGAAGGUGGGGUUCAAAAAAUAUGUAUCAUUUUAUUAAAGUUUAAUCGGAUUCUAAGAGAAAUUGAAAUAGGGCCACUGUAUUCUAGGAUAUUGUUCUUUUGCCAAAUGAGCAUAUUUCAUGUAGGAGCAUACCCUACAUUAACUCCCUCAGGCAAAAGACAUAUUUUGAAAUUUGGUUUUCUUGAAUUAUAGGAUCCACAUAGGAAUCAUUCGAUAACUAUUUUUUUUAAAAGAAAUUAGACUUUGAGUUCUGAAAUUUUGAUUAUUUUUUUUUAGGUUGGUCUUUAGGUUCAAGGUGUCACAUCCCCACAAUUUGAGGUCUUAAAAAUACAUUUUAGUUUGAGUUUUACCUAGAUCAAAAUGGACAAUUUUUUGAUGUCUACAAAAUGCUCUAUCGGGACCAAACUGUAUAUUAACUCCCUCGGGCAAAAAGAUAUGGGAUGAGUGAGUUGUUCUUUCAAAAUUAGUGAUCAUUCAUACAAAAGGUGCUUUGAUUGGGUGUCCUUUCUCUUUAUACAAGUGUUUCAUAACUGACUGGUCAAGUGAAUUAGCCUUUAGGAAAAAGAGCCCAGGCUUAAUUCGUUAGCGAUUGACGAUUUGUAAUGCUACGUCCUAGGCUCAAUUCCUAUCAAGAGAUUAGCUUUUUGGAAAUUAAUUUGAAAAUAUUUUUGUUAUAUUUUUCUUUAGUGCGAGUUUAAUAGAGGAUUGGAUGUGACAAAAUUAGUUUAUAGGAAAGAACUUAAAAAUAAAAUAGUGUAAAGACGUGACAUUGUGAUUGGGAAUAUCUUAGCCCUCCAUUAAGAAUGAACGGUUGGAUAAGGGGAAGUAUACAACUUUUAUGUUGUAGGAGAAGCAUAGAAUGCUUGCCCAAUAGUAAAAAGGUAUAAUAAUGGGAACCAAGCAAUUCGGCCGAUCUGGAUCACCUGAUUCCCCAACCAAACUGAGCAAAUCCGAAUAAGUUGGGCUUAUUCUCGAUAACCAAACACUAAUUUUAAAUCACUGCCUUCGGUAAAAUUUAUUAAACUUGCGCUAAUAUAUGAGCCAUUUAGUUUCAAGGGUACUUGGGCCAGUUUAAAGGGGAUUUUUUCUGGUGAUUGUAAUUUCUACCCGAAUUAGGGUAAAAAUAUUUUCUUCGUCCCUUCUCCGUUAGAUGGUCUGAAAAUUUAUUUUCCCUCUUAAUUUCGACAUUUAAAUUUUUAAAAAUGGUAUAGAGGCAAGAUUCACAAACUUUAAGAGCUAAAAUCAUUUCCUCUUUUCAUAUCUCGAGGUCAAAUAGUCAUUUGAGGGUUUUCAAGCCUUAAAACUAUACUUUUCUAUUAGCUCCCAUUGUAGCAUACUAUGCUUCUACUCCCUCAUGCGAAACACUGAUUUAGGAAGGUUAUUUUAGUCAAAUUUGUGGGAACUACAUAAGAAAUACUAGAUGACAACUUUAAAAAGAAAAAAAAUUGAAAUUUGAGUUUUCUGAGCUUGGAUCUAGCUCUUCAAAAUUGGACGGUCUCUAUUCAAUCUCGAUGCAUUAUUUUUUGGGUGCGGUUUCUAUAAGGCUGCAACUUAAACAAUCCAAUUAAGGCGCACCUCCAAAUUUUAUCAUAACAUAUAAUUUUGGUGAAAACAAUUCUUAGGAUUAUCUCAAAAUCUAUUUUCAUAUCUAAUUAUAAAAUUUUAAACUCCAAAAAAGGUUAAAAUCAAGUAGAUCUAUAAACAUAUGAAAAUAUUGAAAAUGGAUGGUCUAGAUAAAGUAUUGCAAGAUGCUCUAUUUCUGGGAUUCAAAAUUUUUUUUUUUUUUUAUAUUCAUACAUCUCGAUGUCAAGAUGAUCAAUUAGAGUUUUUUUCAACAUUAAAGCAACAUUUUCUGAUGGAUUUUUUGUAAUACUACAUUUUAAGGUUGCAACCAUAUAUAAACUUUUCCCUUGUUUUUUUUAGUACAUAGAGAGUUUAUAGGUUGUAGAGAUUACAUCUGCAAGAUUUGAGAUCUAAAAGGUAUUUCUAGCAUGCCUUGUACCUGAGGGAGUAAAUAGAUAGUGUACUCCUGGGAGUAGGAAAUCAUUAGGCUUUUUCUAUUAAGCCUUACAGUUAUAGUAAGAUCAGGCCUUAUAUAAACUUUAAAUUGCUUUCAUAGCUUUAACCUUUUAUUUCGUUUAGUUUGCAAAAACGUUAUCGUUGCUGCUGACCUUCAGCUAACUGGCGAUGAACUUGUAAAGGGUGCGGUAUAUAUAGAGCCGAGGCCCUAAACAAUCAAAGUAAAGGGCACCAUCAAAUAGUUUCGAAAAAUUAUUUUUUAAUAAUGUAAAUCUUUGUGAUAGCCUUAAAAUAUAUUUUUUAUCUUCAAUUAAAACAUUUAAAGCUUAAACAAUAGUGUAGAUCUAGCAGAUUUAUGAAAACAUGAAAAUCUUGAAAAAGUGAUGGACCAAAAAUGCGCUACAAGAUGCAUUAUUUCUAAAAUAUAAAAUCCAUUUUUUUUUCUCAUGUCCAUGCAUCUUGAUGUCGAGAUAAUCAAUUUUAAGAUAUUUGGGCAUCAAUACAAUAUUUGAGGUAGGCUCUAAUUUGACUAUUGAGAGCCUCAGCUCUAUAUAAACUUUAAUGUACUCAUGUUAAUAUACGUCAUCAUGGUUUGAUUUGCGGGAUGUCGGAGAUGAAGAAUGUUAGAGGAGGGACUGCGCUAUUUGGAAUAAAUUAGAGGAAAAUGUUUAUAUAAGGUUGCAACCUUAAAAUGUAGAAUUACAGAUGCACCUCAAAAAUCGAUCUGAAAAAGUUGUUUUAAUGUUGAAAAACGUUCUAAUUGAUCAUCUCGAUCUUGCCAUCGAUAUAUAUGAAUAUAAAAAAGAAAAAGAUUUUGAAUCUCAAUAAUAUUGCAACUUAGAACAUAUUAUCUAGACCACCCAUUUUCAAGAUUUUUAUAUGUCUAUUGAUCUACUUGAUUUUAACCACUUUUGGAAUUUAAAUUUUAUAAUUAGAUAUGAAAAUACAUUUUCAAAUAAUCCUAAAAAUGUUUUACGCCAAAAGUACAUGAUAAAAUCUAGAGGUGUGCCUUAAUUGGAUUGUUUGAGGUGGCAACCUUAUAGAAACCAGACCUUAAAUUAGAAUCUACAAUCUUUUUUAAAGAGGCACAUACCCAUACCUCCUCCCAUGAUUCAGAGUCAUGUAUACACCCUCUGUAUACACCCUCCUCCCAUGAACGUCGGCAUGGUUGAUGGGGUGCAUGAAAUAUGUCUCAUUUUAGUAAAUUUUGGUUGGUUGCUAAGAGAGAUUCAUAUAGGAUAAAGGUGUCAAAUUCCCACAUAUUUACCGAACUCUUGGUAUUUUCAUUUCCGCUUUGUACAUUGGAUUUCAAAGGUAGUUGUGAAAUUUAUGAAGGUACAUGCAGGUGUGGAUCUUCAUAAGUUUGGGUGGGUAUUUACACAAAAGCCAUUAGUGGAAAAAAUAUAGUAGCGAGUUUAUUUCAAGAAUAUAUAGGGAAUGGCGUUUUAUUUCUGGGGAUAUAUUUGGUCAUAAUAAAGUUAUAAGGCGUUAUUGUAAAUUUUUUUCCUCUCCUUCAUAUUUUUAUAUCUAAAAAUUUAAGGGAAAGUAUAGAAUUAGAUCAUUUACCUUUGAUACAAUUGGUCACAUUAAUCUUGACCAUUGGAUGUGAAAUUGGGUGGCUGCAAUUAUUCCACAUACUAAGCUCAAAUUUCAAACGAAGUUUCUCAAACUUUGUGAUGCAUUCAAGCUAUCAAUUUCUCAUCAAAUAGUUGUAAGGAAUUGUGACCACCUUGUAUCAAAAGUAAAUAGCCUCAUUGAAUAGGAAAUAUAAUUGUUAUUGAUGUGAUCUUGAUUUUGAGAAAUAUACUUAAUGUUCAUUUUUCAUAUAAGAUAAUUAUUGAUGGGGUUUGUUUUUGGGGCAUGCUUUCUAUACUUCCCCUCCCUAUUCAACUAUUUAUUUUGAAUGGACAGUUGAGCUGACCCCAAUCACAAUGUCACACCUCUACACAAUUUUAAUUUUAAUUUUAAUUUUAAUUUUUUCCUACAAAAUAUUUUGAUAUUAAAUUUGAACUUUCACUCCUCUCUUAAAUCUCUUAAAUCGCACUUCUAAAAAGUAUAAAAAAAUAUUCUCAAUAAAAAAGAUGACCAAAAUUCUUUCAGGAUAUUUUGGUUAUUGUAAUUUAUUGAAGAUAUUUUUUUAAUAUUGCUUUCAAGUGCUCCAUUGCAUGAUGGUACAACUAAAACUAAAAUACUCUGAGGCAUUGCAAUGAUGCUACAACUAAAACUAAAAUACCCUGAGGCAUCGGUCAGUGGCUCAUUUCAUCCAAGUUGAACGGCUGGAUGGGAGGAAAUAUAUAACAUACUUCUAGUAGAAGAAGUAUAAAAACUCACUUAAUCCAAAUUGAACGGCUGGAUGGGAGGAAGUAUAUAACAUACAUCUAGUAGAGGAAGUAUAAAAACCUUUCCUAGAAUUAUGUAUUUUUUGUCCCCCUUAUUGAUACGGUAGAAAUAGUAUACUAUUCCGUUCUUUUAUUUGAUGGCUUUGGGGUUUUGUUUGGUGUUUUUUUUGCCCCCCCUUAUUGAUACGGUAAACAUAGUAUACUAUUCCAUUCUUUCAUUUGAUGUCUUUGGGCUUUUUUUGUUUAUGUUUGAAUUGUUUCUUUCUACCAUAGGAAAUUUUGAAAAACAAAAUAGCGAAGAUUUAUAUACGGUCUAGAAAACAUUUUUGGUAUUACAAAUUGGACCAUAUUUUAUGCAACGUUACACAAAGAUCCUGACUUUUGUGAUUUACUUUUAUUCUCCAAUUUUGCACUCAUUGGACCACAUUUUUUUAUUUUUUAUUUUUUAUUUUUGUGGUUUUUUGGGCCAUUGGUUUCCCUUGAUAGCGUAAUCAGAUAUUGGAAGCAUAGGAUGACCCAUAGUUGAUUAUAGCUGAUAGACCAGUCCAAUGUUCCCAGCAUUAGACUAUUAUUUCAUCCUAGUUUUGAUUAUUUUGGUUUAAAACUUCAAAUAAGUAAAAAAGCAUACUAUAAUCACUUAACUCUUAUUCAUGUCGAUUUAUCAGUGUAAUUAAUAGGACCCCCUGAUCCAUCCUCUCUAUAUCAUUUUAGGUAGGUUCCACCUUUUCUCUAUUGUCACUGCAGAAAAUCUUCCUUGAAAAAUUUUCUUAUGCAGUUCAUUAAAAAUAAAAAAUCACUAAUAUAUGAUUCAUGUAUGGGGUAAUGAUCUUAUUAAAUUUCUUAUAAUGAGAAAUUUAUGGUUAACAAUGAUGUAAUAUUCCACAGAUUCUUUGACAAUGGAAGCACAAUUUGACCCAUUUUAGGGGGAUAUUUUUCCCAUUUUUGUGUUUUUGAGAGUUAUACAAAUUUUUGGUUUGCCUUAUAUAGUUGGUCCUACUUUGUUGAGCUUUUGGUGCAUGGACAAAUUUCAAUAUUGAAUAUCUUAAUGUAUAUCGUUGAAAUAUAGAAUCAUUGAACCCGAGAUUAUAUCUUUGAAGCCAAACAUAAUUUUACCAAUUACCGUGGCCCUAAGCAGCGACCUUUCACUUGUUUGAUGGACCUUUUUUGUGUUGCAUUAUGGUAUGUGAUUAUCAACACUUAAUUUAAUUAAUCAAGCCCAAAUAUUUAAUGUUUUUCAUUGAUAGAGGUAGAUAUCUCAUUCUUCCGUACAAUGUAGAAUAUCAAGUUCUUGGCAUUUGAUUUCUAAUAUUUCAGAGAGAUUAAACCAGCAAUGGUUAAGAUAGAAUGUUUAAAAAUGACUGACUAUGUGCAAUACACUAAAAAAGCAAACAUAUUGGAAGAAUUAGUCAAUCAAGUUAUAGAAGCAUUCAAUUGCUAUUAUGAUCUAUGCAUUAAAUAAAUUCUUACACGGCAAGAACAAUAAUAAAGAGGGAGCUAAGAACAAUAAUAAAGAGGGAGCUGAAUUACAUGGGAAAACUAUUCCCAACGCCUAUAGGCGAAAAUGAGCAGUAAUUUUGUCUAUCUUCAUCACCAUCCAAAUUUCAUCGCAUGGUCACAGUUGUCCGGUAUUAUUUCAACUUUAAUUUUUUUUUUUACAAAUCCAUAUUACUUGAAAUUUGGAGCGUGUGUAUAUCUUAGUGAGAUGUACCGAGGGGCAAUUUUAUGGGAAUUUAUAGCUGGAAAGGAAUAUGAUGACUUUUGAGGGAAGUAUCCCAGACUUUGAGGUUAUUUUUUUUUAUUUUUAUUUUUGGAGAAGUUCAAAGAUCUUAUUAAAAGUUCAAAGAUCUUAUUAAAAGUUCAAAGGGGUUACAGGGAAAUUAUGGAAAUACAACAUCAGAAACCACUAAGUUGGUUAGGGAUGUGCCAUUCUUCGAUAGAGUAUAGGGAAAUUAUGGAAAUACAACAUCAGAAACCACUAAGUUGGUUAGGGAUGUGCCAUUCUUCAAUAGAGUAUCGAUCAAAACAUUGGCCUCCUGAAACACAUGAGCAAAGGAAAAAGAAAAGGAAAGAUAGAAAAAACUUGAAGCAAGAAGGAACGCAAUUCCCAAAGAACCUUCUUCUCCCUCUUAUACCAGUUGAUAACAUUUAAAGAGUCCCCUUCCCCAAUAUAAAUUGUCCCAAUGUGUUUCCCACCGAAGAGCUUAAAACCCUGAAGAAGAGCAAAGAACUCAGCAUAAUUUGCAGAUUUCUCCCCCGAAUGACCUGCAUAAGUGAACAUAAUUUUGCCUUCACAAUCCCUCACAAUACCUCCAAAACCCGCUAAGCCCAGAUUCCUUAAGGUGCUACCAUCAAAAUUCAACUUAAAAGUUCCCCUAGGAGGUGAAGACCGUAAGCUUCUUGGCUUACAGUUGCGGACCCCCAAAUGUAGGAGGUUAAAAAAAUUACACCUCAUAUCAGUUUCAACAAUAUCUUUCCCCAUUUUUGAGAUCGAUAAGUACAUCCAUAUAGCAUGAAGAAUUUUAUCCAAGAUUCUAAUAGGAUGCAAACAAAUAGUUUGGAGGUUAUUAAGAGCAAGAUCAUGCAUAAAGUUUGGAUAUGGUUUGAAAUCACUUAAGGAAGGUAGAGGAACUUUUAAGUUAGAGAUCCCUUUGAAUAUGCAUUAUCUCAUUAAUCUGAAUGUGGUUAACAUAAGGCUGAAAGGAAGGUGGGUGUCUCUAAUGGCUAGUUGUUUUCAAUUAAACAUUGAUGGUAGCUUUUAGGGAAUCCAGAAUUGAUCGGUAUUGGAGGAGCUCUUCAUUAAAGUGUGAUCUUUUGCUUUCCUCGUUCAUGUUGAUGUGUCUCAACAAAUCACGUUCAAUUAACGACACUUGUACAAAGACUUCAAUUGAUAGUGGACAAAUUUGGUGGGGUUUUUUAAAGAUCGAAGGGGACUCCCAAAAAUAUAAUUACUUGCUGUAAAAGGAAGUGACGCCACCAUGGAAAUUGCGAUCCAUGUGAUUACAGGUCAUGGAUCGUGCCAGAGGUCUCCUUAAAACAUGGCUAAUGAUAUGGCAGAUGGAUUAGCUAAGCUUGGGCUUCUAUUUUGUAUUUAUAAGUUUCUGAUUCUUUGUUUAUUUGAAGAGCUGUAACCUUUGAUUGAGAUUAAUAAAAUUAUGUACUCUUGUUAUUAAAUAAAGAAAAAUGAACACCCACACUUAAUCAUAAUGAAUGGGUGCAUGCUUCUAUGGGCAAACGUGGCGGACAAAAUAAAUACUUCCAUGUUCACCCUGGAGGCCUGAUUAGAUCCAAGUCUAGCCUCAUAAAAUGGACCCGACGAGUUGGGGAAGGAUCUAUUUGACCUUGACCAGAACUAGGUUUGGUCCGGUGCUUAUGCCCUAUGAAUCAAGUACAAUCUAACCAGAGUUACUCGGUAUAUAUAGGAUAUUUUAAAAUGGAAAAAGUUUAUAUAAAGAUGCAACCUUAUAAUGUAGAACUACGGAUGCACCUCAAAAAUCUGUUGGAAAAGGUAGUUUUAAUGUUGAAAAACCCUUUGAUUGAUCAUCUUGACAUCGAGAUCUAUGACCAUGAAAAAUAAAAAGAUUUUAAGUUUAAAAAAUAGUGCAUUUUACAACAUAUUUUCUACACCAUCCAUUUUCAAGAUUUUCAUAUGCUUAUAGAUCUACUUGAUUUUAACCAUUUUUGAAAUUUAAAAUUUUAUAAUUAGAUAUGAAAAUAGAUUUUGAGAUAAUCCUAAAAACAUUUUACAUCAAAAUUAUAUACCAUGACAAAAUUUGAAGGUUCACCUAACCUCUACAGCUACGGAUGCAUUCAUAUGCCAAUCGUACCCUUUUAAAAUAUGUAUAUAAACUUUAUAUUAUAUAAAUAACCAAUUUUUUUAUUAUUCUACUUCUAGAUUCAUACUAGAUGCAACCUGAGAAGUCAGGUCCAGGUCCAAAUCACUUGGACUUGACUCCAACCCAGGACUAACUUACACUUAGUCGGGUUGGGCCCGAGUUAGGAUCGACCCAAAUCCCUCCCAACCGUUUACAACCCUAUCACCAAUUGCCUGUAUCAAUCCUUGAAGGCCACUUUUAAUGUGUAGUUCUUGAAUAGUCCUUCAAUUUAUGGGACAGUUGUCCGUUAAAUUGAAUUACUAUUUAAAUGGUGGUGGUGCAUAGGACCAUAACCCACAAGACUUUUAAUUUUUUUUUUGCGAGUUUUGGGCUCCGCAUUUGCCAAAGAUAUAAUUUUUUUUGAGAAGAUGACCGAAUUUAACCUUUUCUUCACAACAAUGGUUUCAAUGUCCUGUAUCAUCGUCAUCAUCUGAGCUUUAUAAAAACUAUUCAAACUCUUUGAAGUGGACGAACCCAUUUGUAACAUUAAAAAUUACAAAUUCGGUUCAAUACAUCAAGUAUCAAACAAGAGACUAAUUGGUGAUAAUAGAAAUCCAAUGAGCACAAAAUAUAUAAAUUAUGGGACUAUUUUUGGUUCAAAAAAAUAAAAUGGAUAACUAUGAUAAUUUCCCAUAUACAUAAUUACAGAUUUCUAUUAUAUAUUUUAUAAAAAUGUAUACAAUGAGACCCAUUAUUUUUAUUACAAGAUUGUAUGAAUUCCUACUCAAUAGAUGUCAAAUUGGAUGAUUUGGCUUAGUCACGUAGUUGAAGAUUUUUUUUUUUUUUUAAACUUAAAGUCUUUUAAAUGACACUCUUACCAUUGCCAAUUUGAAAUCAAGACAAGAGUGAUUAUGUCCUCCUUAUGCAAAAAAUAAAUGGUCUCUUUGUAUACUUUUCUACAUUUUAUUCUAUUAUAUUUUUAUUACAUGGGGUUGGUUCUAGAUCUACGUCUGGUCCCCCAUGUUAAUAUUGGGUUGGGUCCUAGUGAGGUCUGAUGCGACUUGUGUACGCCCUAUGUUAAAUGAAAUUUAUCAAAAUACACUUGAACUGUCUACAUUUCACUUAAGGUGUGAUAAAUUUUAAAACUCGUUUUGAUGUGUCAUUUGUCAAGCGAUUUAAAAUUAAAGAAUGAUGGGCAAUUUGUAAUAAGAUAAAUAAAAAAGAAUAAGAUGUUAAAUAGUUCAAAUGUGAAGAAUAAUUUGGUAAAUUUCCCAAAUAAGGACAAGAUGCAAUUCACUUGCGUGCCAUACAUGGUUUAUCAACAAUCUUUUACCAUGCAAGCUGGUUCUCUUCUAGUGUAUAGAAGUCCCCCUUCUCUUAUAGUUGAUUAAACAAUAUGAGUUUAUUUUUCCAAAACCUUAUUUCAUUAACACUUUCUUUUAUUUUUCUUUUUCAGUGAUAUGAUUGGAGACCUAAUUGAAUGGCACAUUUAGGGAAAAAUAUGGAGUAAGUUCAAGUCAAUUUGCAUAUCAUACGAGGUGGUUUCACUGCAUACAAGUUUGUUAUCUUUUUCGAAAUAAAGAGGAAAAAAAAAAAGUGUACUUCAUACGAUGUGAAAUUCUGUGGGAAUAGGAUGGCCUACUAUUAGCAAUUCUCUUUUAUCUUAUGGAUAAUUUCAUUAAUGAAAUAAUGGUCAAAUAAAAAAGAAAGAAAAUAAUAUGUAUGAAAAAUUAGGUAAAAGGGACAAAUAUUUUAGGGGCACGGUUUGUAUAAGACUGAGGCCCUAAACAAUCAAAGUGAGGCCCUAAACAAUCAAAGUAACGCACGCCUUCAAAUAGUGUUGAAAGAUAUGUUUUUUUGACUGAAAAUCUUUGUGAUGACCUGAAAAUUAUUUUCAUCUAUAAUUAUAAUAUUUAAAAAUAGUAUAGAUCGAGUAGAUCUACUUGAAAAUCUUAAAAUGUACGGUCCAAAAAAUGCAUUACAAGGCACACUAUUUCCAAUUCUCAAAAUCUAUUUUUUCUUAUGUCCAAACAUAUUGAGAUUGAGAUGAUCGACUUAAGGAUUUUUUGGCAUCGAAACAAUCUCUCUAGUGAAUUUUGAGCUGUCUUUAAUUUGAUUAUUUAAGGCCUCACCCUUAUAUAAACUUUUUCGAUUAUUUUAUACCUCAUAACUGUGUUCUCUUUAAUUUGAUACGGUGCUUCUAUUUGAUUCAUUCGCUUUCAUUUCUGCAAUUCUACCUUAUUUUCAGGUUAAUGAUAUGAAUGGAAAAUUAGGUUAGCGGAACACAUUUAGGUGCCCAUCUUAUCCUAUUGAAGCCUUAUACUAUACGAGUUGCCCGAAGAUGUAGUUUGUGUAGAAAACUUUGUGAUGACCUGAUUAUAAAAUUUAAACAAUAGUGCAGAUUAUAUAAGUCCUACAAACACUUGGAAAUCUUGAAAAUAGAAGGUCAAGAUAAAUUAUUACAAGUUACAUUAUUUUUAUGACUUGAAAUCUUUUUUUUUGUGUGAUAUCCAUAUAUCUUAAGGUCGAUAAUAUCAAUUUGAGAAUUUUCAAAAAUCAAAACACUUUUUCUUAGUGGUUUUUUGAGGUGCGCCUUACUUUUUAAAACAUAAAAACCUUUAUUUAAAGGAAAAAGUUUAUAGAGAGCCAAGGCUCUAAACAAUCAAAUUAGAGCCCACCUCAAAAAUUUCACUAGAUGAGGUUGUUUUGAUGCCCAAAUACUCUCAAGUUGAUCAUCUCGACAUCAAGAUACAUGGACAAGAGAAAAAAAUGGAUUUCAAGUUUUGAAAAUAGUGCAUCUUGUAACGCAUUUUUGGACCGUCAAUUUUCAAAAUUUUCAAAGAUCUGUUCAAUCUACACUGUUAUUGAAACUUCAAAUUUUAUAAUUAAAGAUAAAAAUAUAUUUUAAAUCUAUCACAAAUAUUUCCAGUAUUGAAACCUCAUUUCUCGAUACUAUUUGAAGGUGCGCUUUACUUUGAUUGUUUAGAGCCUCAGAUCUAUACAAACCGCACCCCAAACCAUUUCCUCUGUGUAAUAUAGUGAUUUAACAGUUCUGAUACAUUGGCUAAAGUAAAAAAGCCCCGUAAACAUGUGCUAAUAAUCACCAUAACUGAAAAAGGAAACCACUCCAAAUGGACGUCUCUCCUUAAAGAUUGUGAUGUUAGUUUGGGCAUAGUUAAUGAACUGCCAAGUGAGGCAGAAUGGUUGAGAAGCCCGGGGUCAUGCGUGUGAGAUGGGCCCCAAACAUGUAUAAAAGGGCCUCCAUGCACCCUAUCCAUAUCACCAAUUAUAUCUCUCCUCCUUUUCUCAUUCUUUUACUCAAAGUUGAAAGAAUUUCUCUGAGAAGAUUGAAGAUUUGAUGUUUUCAUGCUUUCCACAGGCUUUCUUGAACAUGGUAUUCAGACAGGCCCUCCUUGAGUUGGUUCUCGGAGAUGCAUUGUUGAGUAACAGGUUCAAGAAAGUUGUGGAAAAAUAUGGAAACGAUCAUGAUACCGUGUUGCAUAUUUGAAAGUGAAUGCAAUUUUUUCAGAAGGUCGGCCUUUUCUCAUUCUUUCCCUUAUCCAACCGUCCAUUCUGGAUGGAGGGUUAAGAUUGCCCCAAUCACAAUGUCACGUUUCUACACUAUUUUACUUUUAAUGUUUUUUCUAUAAACUAUCUUGCC
rnacentral:lncRNA from 1 species